UACGGGGGGUGCGAGCGUUAAUCGGAAUAACUGGGCGUAAAGGGCACGCAGGCGGGCUUUUAAGUGAGGUGUGAAAUCCCUGUGCUUAACCUGGGAAUUGCAUUUCAUACUGGGAGUCUAGAGUACUUUAGGGAGGGGUAGAAUUCCACGUGUAGCGGUGAAAUGCGUAGAGAUGUGGAGGAAUACCGAUGGCGAAGGCAGCCCCUUGGGAAUGUACUGACGCUCAGGUGCGAAAGCGUGGGUAGCAAACAGG
rnacentral:rRNA from 1 species